GUUUAUUGCUAUUUUUUAGGUUUGCCAUUGUACUAGAUGUGGUAAAGCAAUUUUCAGACUAGCUGAAGUUAUUUCAGGCUUUUCUGGGAAGAUGGUGCACAGUUGGGUUUUGCAGGGGAAGGAAAGCUAAAGAAUCUCAGCAAAAACCCUUGAAUCGGGAGAGAGAAACAACAAAUGCAUGUGAUACAAGUCAUGCUACCUCAGAGAGGGAUGCAGUUCCGGGUUGUACCUGUUUGGUGAGUUGUGAUGUCCCAGCCCUCUUNACAGGUGCAUGUCCUCUGCAAGGAUAAAAGAAAAGAUAAGAUUCCCACUCAAACUGAUCAGCUCCACCUCGAACUCCGCCUCUCGAAGGAUGAAACAUCGCUAGAUCGCUUGCUUAUUGUUUUUUUGGAAAAGAUUCACUAAAACUACGACAAAAUUACGACAAAGUUCGUUCGUUCAGUUCGCCAUCUUGGACGUGAAACGCAAUCGAAGUCCUGGGCAUCAUUUUACCACAGGAAACCCAGUCGAUCACACAGGGAACCCAUCAAGUAGAUAGAUCGUGGACAGACAGACAGAUGAUCAAUGCACAAAUAAAUACAAGGGAUCGCGGACUAAAAGCUCCGAGUACGAAGAUACCUACCCUUUGGAGGAAGUUUACCAUUGGUGGAAUCCUCUCUGCCCUCGCUCGCUCCAAUGCGAAUAUGGUCUGGGGACUUCGAAUGAAGAUCUUGUUCCUUCCAUAUUUGACAUCUCGAGAGUAGCCCAUAUCUUCAAUGAGAGUCUUCACGCCAUCUUUGUCGCUACCGCGAUAGUUUGGCCAAGUUUCGUCACAAUUCAUUUUGUACCUUUAUAGAAAAGAAUGAAAAUCAGAAGAACCAAAAAAUGUGGACCUAUGGGUGAGCCCUGUAGAACACCGUUAGGAUCCCAUUUCUAUUAAAGAUGCCUGAUGGUUUUCUACCAAGAUUUACACCUUCCUCUUAGGGCACAGAAGGAGUNGGAAUCCCAUGACCCACUUGUAAUCGUGCAUGAAGAAAAUGGUGCAUGGCAGGCACAAGGUUAUGAAGACUGCUCUUCACUUUUCCUCCUCUGUCCACUUUAAUUUUGAGGUCAAGAAUAUGAGUACCAAGUAAGUAGGU
rnacentral:lncRNA from 1 species